UACGGGGGGGGGCAAGCGUUGUUCGGAAUUACUGGGCGUAAAGGGCGCGUAGGCGGCCUGCUAAGUCGGAUGUGAAAUCCCUCGGCUCAACCGAGGAACUGCAUCCGAUACUGGCGGGCUUGAAUCCGGGAGAGGGAUGUGGAAUUCCAGGUGUAGCGGUGAAAUGCGUAGAUAUCUGGAGGAACACCGGUGGCGAAGGCGACAUCCUGGACCGGCAUUGACGCUGAGGCGCGGAAAGCCAGGGGAGCAAAGCGGGG
rnacentral:rRNA from 1 species